rnacentral:rRNA from 1 species
CGGACGGGUGAGUAACACGUGGAUAACCUACCUAUAAGACUGGGAUAACUUCGGGAAACCGGAGCUAAUACCGGAUAAUAUUUUGAACCGCAUGGUUCAAAAGUGAAAGACGGUCUUGCUGUCACUUAUAGAUGGAUCCGCGCUGCAUUAGCUAGUUGGUAAGGUAACGGCUUACCAAGGCAACGAUGCAUAGCCGACCUGAGAGGGUGAUCGGCCACACUGUAACUGAGACACGGUCCAG